ACUGACGCCUGCCCGGUGCCGGAAGGUUAAGAGGAUCCGUCAGCCUUCGGGUGAAGCGGUGAAUUCAAGCCCCGGUAAACGGCGGUGGUAACUAUAACCAUCCUAAGGUAGCGAAAUUCCUUGUCGGGUAAGUUCCGACCUGCACGAAUGGCGUAACGACUUCCCCACUGUCUCGACCAGGAGCUCGGCGAAAUUGCAGUACGAGUAAAGAUGCUCGUUAAGCGCAGAAGGACGAAAAGACCCCGGGACCUUUACUAUACCUUGGUAUUGGCAUUCGGUGUGGAUUGUGUAGCAUAGGCGGGAGGCCGAGAGGCGCGGUCGCCAGAUCGCGCGGAGCCGUAAGGUGAAAUACCGCUCUGUUCGCAUUGGAUGUCUAACCUCGAACAGUCAUCCUGUUCAGGGACAGUGCCUGGCGGGUAGUUUAACUGGGGCGGUUGCCUCCCAAAGAGUAACGGAGGCGCCCAAAGGUCCGCUCAGCCCGGUUGGCAAUCGGGUGGCGAGUGCAAGUGCACAAGCGGGCUUGACUGCGAGGACGACGGUCCGAGCAGGGACGAAAGUCGGGACUAGUGAUCCGGUGCCGGUGUACGGACGCGGCAUCGCUCAACGGAUAAAAGGUACCCCGGGGAUAACAGGCUGAUCAUUCCCAAGAGUCCAUAUCGACGGGAUGGUUUGGCACCUCGAUGUCGGCUCGUCGCAUCCUGGGGCUGGAGCAGGUCCCAAGGGUUCGGCUGUUCGCCGAUUAAAGCGGCACGCGAGCUGGGUUCAGAACGUCGUGAGACAGUUUGGUCUCUAUCCUCUGCGCUCGUUGGAAUGCUGAGGAGGCCUGCCCAUAGUACGAGAGGACCUGGGUGGACGAACCUCUGGUAUGCCGGUUGUCACGCCAGUGGCACGGCCGGUUGGCUACGUUCGGAAGGGAUAACCGCUGAAAGCAUCUAAGCGGGAAGCCUGCUCCAAGAUAAGCAUUCCGUGGAACCUUCGAGUUCCUGUAGUCCCCAUGCAGAACACGUGGUCGAUAGGCCGGACGUGGAAGCCCCGCGAGGGGUGGAGCCGACCGGUACUAACGGACGAAAGGCAACAC
rnacentral:rRNA from 1 species